rnacentral:rRNA from 1 species
AUGAUCUGUAACAGGAACGCGCCCGAUGUCGUCUGAUCUCGGAAGCUAAGCAGAGUCGUGCCUGGUUACUACUUGGAUAGGCAAUGAGCUCAUCUCUAGAUGGGAAGAAUGAGAUGAAACAUA